ACUAGUCGAGUGACCCUGCGCCGAAAAUGUACCGGGGCUAAAACAUAUUACCGAAGCUGUGGAUGACACGUUAGUGUCAUGGUAGGAGAGCGUUCUAUGUGUGAAGAAGGUGUACCGUGAGGAGCGCUGGAACGCAUAGAAGUGAGAAUGCCGGUAUGAGUAGCGAAAGACAGGUGAGAAUCCUGUCCACCGUAAGACUAAGGUUUCCAGGGGAAGGCUCGUCCGCCCUGGGUUAGUCGGGACCUAAGGAGAGACCGAAAGGUGUAUCCGAUGGCCAACAGGUUGAUAUUCCUGUACUAGAGUAUAAAGUGAUGGAGGGACGCAGUAGGCUAACUAAAGCAGGCGAUUGGAAGAGCCUGUCUAAACAGUGAGGUGUAAGAUGAGUCAAAUGCUUAUCUUUAUAACAUUGAGCUGUGAUGGGGAGCGAAGUUAAGUAGCGAAGUUAGUGACGUCACACUGCCAAGAAAAGCUUCUAGCGUUUAAUGAUACUCUACCCGUACCGCAAACCGACACAGGUAGUCGAGGCGAGUAGCCUCAGGUGAUCGAGAGAACUCUCGUUAAGGAACUCGGCAAAAUGACCCCGUAACUUCGGGAGAA
rnacentral:rRNA from 1 species